rnacentral:lncRNA from 10 species
AUCCAGAGGUGAUGUUUUUGGGCUGGAAGGCUGAUGCUACUAAGUGGUCCUUUGCAAGGUGGAAUAGAAAUCCAGCUAGAGACCAAUAGUGAGAUCUGCAAUUGAAUCAGUAAUAAAUUGCCUACCAACCAAAAAAAGCCCAAGACCAGAUGGAUUCACAGCUGAAUUCUACCAGAGGUACAAAGAAGAGCUGGCACCAUGCCUGCUUAAACUAUUCCAAAGAAUUGAGGAGGGGGGACUCCUCUCCAACUCAUUCCAUGAGGCCAGCAUCAUCCUGAUACCAAAACCUGGCAGAGAUACAACAAAAAAAGAAAACUUCAGGCCAAUAUCCUUGAUGAACAUUGAUGAAAAAAUCCUCAACAAAAUACUUGCAAACUGAACCAAGCAGCACAUCAAAAAGCUAAUCCACUGUGAUCAAGUAGGCUUUAUCCCUGGGAUGCAAGCCUGGUUCAACAUACACAAAUCCAUAAAUGUGACUCAUCACACAAACAGAACUGAAGACAAAAACCACAUGAUCAUCUCAAUAGAUGCAGAAAAGACUUUUUAUAAAAUUCACCAUCUCUUCUUGUUAAGAACUCUCAAUAAACUAAGUUUUGAAGGAACAUACCUCAAAAUAAUGAGCCAUUUAUGAAAAACCCACAGCCAACAUUGUACUGAAUGGGCAAAAGCUGGAAGCAUUCUCCUUGAAAACCAGCACAAGACAAGGAUGCCUGCUCUUACUACUCCUACUCAGCAUAGUAUUGGAAGUCUUGUUCAGAGCAAUCAGGCAAGAAAAAGAAAUAAAGGACAUCCAAAUAGGAAGAGAGGAACCCCCUGUUUGCAGAUGACAUAAUUCUAUACAGAAAACCCCAUAGUGUGGGUCCAAAACUCCUUCA